AUGGGAGCCCAGUCAGUGACCCAGGCCCACGGCCACAUCACUGUCUCUGAAGGAGCCCAUCUAGAGCUGAGGUGCAACUACUUAUCUUCUGUUCCACCAACUCUCUUCUGGUAUGUGCAGCACCCCAACAAAGGACUCCAGUUUCUCCUGAAGUACAUGUCUGGAAACAGCCUUGUUUCAGACAUCAAAGGUUUUGAUGCUGAAUUUAGGAGUGAAAACUGCUUCCACUUGAGGGAAACAUCAGCCCAUUGGAAAGACACGGCCAAGUACUUCUGUGCUCUGAGUGACGCAGUGCCUGGGACUGCAGGGGGAGCUGACCACAAACCUCCUGAGACAGAGUGGCAUAAAUGA